rnacentral:rRNA from 1 species
UACGUAGGGUGCAAGCGUUAUCCGGAAUUAUUGGGCGUAAAGAGCUCGUAGGCGGUUUGUCGCGUCUGCUGUGAAAACUGGAGGCUCAACCUCCAGCCUGCAGUGGGUACGGGCAGACUAGAGUGCGGUAGGGGAGAUUGGAAUUCCUGGUGUAGCGGUGGAAUGCGCAGAUACCAGGAGGAACACCGAUGGCGAAGGCAGAUCUCUGGGCCGUAACUGACGCUGAGGAGCGAAAGCAUGGGGAGCGAACAGG